CGGAGUGUAGCUCAGCUUGGCUAGAGCGCUGCGUUCGGGACGCAGAGGUCGCAGGUUCAAAUCCUGUCACUCCGA
rnacentral:tRNA from 1 species